AUGGUGAGGAGAACUUACUUGUGUUUUCAUUGUUGGUGGUGUGUUUUUUCUUUUUUUUUUUUUUUUCUUUUUUUUUCCCUUGUAGUGGAGCUUUUCCAUCCUCUCUCCAUUACCUUCCCAUGGCAUGUGAGGGUGAAGUUGUAUAUGAAGCAUUCAACACGCAGUCACCGGGAUGACCUGACUGUCAUUUGGAAGGAGAAGGACCAGGUAUCAGUGUCAUCUUCUCUGAAGUUUGGAAGAGACCGUGUGAAUUACAGAGCCACUGUUGCCCACCCAUUCAAUUACACUUUGAGGCAACUGGAGGUUCAUUCCCUGUCAGAAAGAAGAGCCAGAAAGUACAACCACCAGCUGCAGCUAACGUGGAAUGGUGGGCAGCCUACUGACAUCCAACUGACCCUGGAGGAUAAAUCAAGGCCAAACAUCACUGCCUGGGAUGGGUGUGUAUCAGGCUCUUCAGGACAGCUUCAGGGAGUAUUAAUUAUAGAACACCUUCAUGCAUGUGGGUUUCUAGAGCAAACAUCAACAUCAUUUAAGGAAUACCUAGAUCUGAACUGGGAUGACAAAAAGUUCAAACACAAUUUAACUUAUGAGAGAAAUCGAUUCCUAUAUCCUGAUAAAUUUCAGUUAGAAGCUGUUAUGGAAAACAUUUUCCUGACCUCAUGCACCAAACAAAAUAUUCUGGGUAAAAUAGAAACAAACUAUUCAUCUUGCCUGGACUAUUACAUGAGCUUUGAGUUCUGCGACAUUCCAAAUGUAAUCGUUUUCUCUGGAAAACACCAGCUCAACAAAGGAGACAUCAUUUUGCAAUCAGAGAGCAGAUUCCAUUUUUCUGAUCAUGGGAGACAUGAGGGAUUGAUUGGAGUAUCCUUAAAAAAUCAGACCACAGCUGAUGUGAAAAACUAUUCUCUGGAAAUUGAAUUAAAAGGCUCUGAAGACACUUGGCUAGGCCUGACAGGAACUGCUACUUCCUCAGCUGUUCAGAGCCAAAUCCUGGUGGAGGGGAUUAUUGAUCAAAAAGAGAAAGUAAAAGUAGCUGCUUCUAAAGGAAAGGAGUGUUUGCAGUACUACAUGGGGUAUUUGAAAGGGGAUCUGGAAGAAGGAAUGGAAGUCAGUGCUUGUACUGAUGGGCAACAGAUGGCUGCCAUUAAUAGCUAUCUCAACAUUAAUGGUGAAAGGCAAGAAAACAUGGGACAAAUUACUCUAACAGCUGUUAAUGAAAGCUUAAAUUUUCUGACUCAUGGAUGUGGGGAUCUAAUUCUUAAGGCUGAGGACAAAAUUAAUGAAAUUGGGAGCAUUCUCAAAGCCAGACUGAUUGAGAAGAUAAAGAAGCUUGAUGGAUAUAUCUGGAGACUCAGGAGAUCAGUGCAGCAAAUUGAUUUUCUGUCUGAAGCAGCUGGCUGGCCUUCAAUAGCCUCACAAAAGAUAGCAGGAUUCCUCCACUGUGUGGGUAGAGCUUUCACCCAAGUGUGGAAGCAAAGUGGAAUCAAGCAGAUACUAAGAAGCAAGCUCCCGCUUUACCUGAAUAAAAUUCAAGACGCUGUCCAGCAAAUGCAGAAUGAAUUGCAAAACCCAUUAGCAACUUUGAAAGAUGCCUACUAUGAUGUAACCUUGAAGCCACUGGAUGAAGUUUGGCAGGAGAAGACAGAAGAGUACCUGAAAAAAGUCCAGGCAUUUUUGCCCAGGAUUAUAAAAGAUGUUUGGCUAAUGGAGCCAAUCCAGAUGGCAUUAAGGACUGUUAAAACAGGCUUGGAUAUGACCACACAGCAGAUGCUCAGGUGGGCAGAGGCCCUGGUUUCUAGAGCUGUGAGCAAGAUUCGGAAGCCCUUACUCAACCUUUACAGUUUUUCAGCCAGGAACUGUUCAGUGGCAGUGAAACUGCCAGUACUUCCUAAAGCAUACUGCUCCCUGGAUCUGGCAAAUAUUACUAAUUAUCUCAUUGAAGAAAAGCUAAUGAGGCCUCUCAAAGACCUCUACAACAUCAACGUGGUUGCAGAGUAUUACAGAUUCAAACGAAGGAUGAUGGAGAGUCCCUUUGAACAUCAUGCUAUGUUAAUGGGUAACAGGCACCUUAUGACUUUUGAUGGAAAAAUUUAUGAUUUGGCAACAAAAUGCAGUGUGCUUCUUGCCAAGGAUUUUCUUCACAAUACUUUCACUAUAAUACUAAAUGAGGAAAUCGGUGAUUCACUAUCACUGUAUGUGGAGAUGAACCAGAGCGUGAUCAAUAUCUAUCCAAGACUGAAGAUGUCUAAGGUAUCUGUGGUAGAGAACUGCCAAGGACUGGAUCAAUCCCUUGAAAAGAAUGCCACUGAUUCAAGGAAAGAAACCAACAAAAUAGAAAUAUCUGAUCACAAAGGAGUUUCUGUCUCUUGUGACUUUCAGUAUGAUCUCUGUACUGUCACUCUGGCUGGAUGGCACCAUGGUAUUUCAGCUGGACUUUUUGGUACCAAUGAUAACGAAGCUGGAAAUGAAUGGAUACUUCCUAAUCAUUCCUUCACUGAUAAUGUGCAAGAAUUCACACAGAGCUGGCAGGUGAGCAAGUGCAGUCUCACACAGAAGAAUGUGAAGCCCUGUCCAAUUACAGAUAAGGAAAAAGUCUGUAAGGAGUUUUUUGAAGAAGCACAUUCUUGUCUCAGGAACUGCUUCAAAGUUGUGGACCCCGAACAAUUCUACAUCAUGUGUAUAUAUGACACGUGUGAAUCAAAGAAGUUGAAGGCUGCCUGCAGUUUAGCAGCAGCUUUUGUUCAUUUGUGCAACCGAAAUUUUGUUCCUGUGGAAAUUCCUCCUCAGUGCUUGAGCCUUUUUUGA
rnacentral:lncRNA from 1 species